GGAUUAGAUACCCUGGUAGUCCACGCCGUAAACGAUGUCAACUAGCCGUCGGGUUCAUUUAGGAAUUUGGUGGCGUAGCUAACGCGAUAAGUUGACCGCCUGGGGAGUACGGCCGCAAGGUUAAAACUCAAAGGAAUUGACGGGGGCCCGCACAAGCGGUGGAGCAUGUGGUUUAAUUCGAUGCAACGCGAAGAACCUUACCAGCCCUUGACAUCCUCGGAACUUUCUAGAGAUAGAUUGGUGCCUUCGGGAACCGAGUGACAGGUGCUGCAUGGCUGUCGUCAGCUCGUGCUG
rnacentral:rRNA from 1 species